rnacentral:lncRNA from 1 species
CCAACCUCCUCCCCCCAACAAACAAAUAAACACAUGGGGAAAAAAAAAAAACAAACGAACAAUCUUUAAAAUUUUAAAUUACUAGCUUGCCUCAGUCUUAUUGGCAAGAAUGGAUAAGAUUUUAUUGUAGUGGCCUUUAUCAAAUGAAGGCAUGGUCAUAGUCAAAUUGAUGAAACAAUGUCUUAAAAAAAUCUCUGCUACUUUUCAACUACUUAAAAAUGUGCAGGCUUCAUUUUUAUUUUUUGUGAAGUUCCAAGAAAGAGUCCAUUAUGAAACACAGCUCUUGUUUCAGCCACACGAUUGGGUCAGUGUUAAAAUCACUUAGGAAAAAUAAUUCUGCCGAAGCUGACGUUGAUCAGUACUGUAGUAUAACUUCCUACAGCAUCAGUGGUUUGUUUCCAAACCACCGUUUGUCUGGUACAUAAUGUAGAACCUUGAACAAUUACAUCAGUGUGCAUAAACAAGGGGUUAUAAUAGAAUAUGUAGAAAGACUUAGCACACAAGAGUGGGUUUAGAGCACUAGCUUUGAAACUAAAAGUAUUUUUUUGUUCUGCACAGAAUGAGAUCCAAAAUACCAAAGAUACUAGAAUGGACCAUUUCCCGGCUGCACAAGAAGGAGACAAAAUCAUGUCAAACAUGCAGCUUGGUGAAAUGAAAAAUGCUGUUAUAAAACAUAUGUAUUUUGCUGCAGCUGUUAAGCACAAGUUUGCUCAAAAAGACCAGCUGAACAAAUGUGGGCCAGAGGUAAGUAUUGUCACAGAGAGGUCAUGUUGCAUAUAUUGAAUUUAUUAUUAAAUUAGGCGAAUACACUUUCAGUGAGAAAUCAGCUAUCAGAGAAACAUUUUAAAAUAUUUGUUGUCCAAAACUCUAAUAAAUUAUUGAACUGUUAAAAAGCAUCAUUGGAAUGAUGGACGUGAUGAUCUUAAAGGUCUUUCCCAGUCGAUCCUGUGUUUAAUGUUGCUUGUUCUUACAACACUUUCUAUACGGUCCUCUUUAUUACAAAGAAACUCUUUAACCCUGUUACGUAAGAGAACCUUAUCUGUUAAUUUUAGAAGAAGCAAAAUGCCCUAAUAUGAUUUAGAGCAUCUUAAAUUGUUCAAGCACUAUAUUUAUGCAGUAGCAAUAAAGAGAAAGUAUACAUGUUUUGCAGUGGCCACCUGGUUUUGCUAAUAGGGACAGACUGUAACUGAAGGUUGUCUCAUGGCAGAAAAAAAACCAGUAGAUUUUACAGCAUGAGCCUUAAAGAUCAUCAUACAGGUUUCAAAGUCUACUGGAAGUGGAAACUACAAGUAGAAUACAUUAUGUUUUACAGUCCUGUUUUCACAGUUACUUUGACUUAAUUCCUUUUUUUUUUUUUUUUUUUUUUUUGGUGCUAUUGAGCUAGUUUCUCCUUUUUCUUCCAAUUAAGCCAAAUAAAUGCCAUAAAUCAGGGGUACAGGUCAGCAACAGGUGUUAAGUCUUUGUUAUAUCUAAGUAAAUACUUUUC